UACGGGGGGGGGCAAGCGUUGUUCGGAAUUACUGGGCGUAAAGGGCGUGUAGGCGGCUAUACAGGUCCGCUGUGAAAACUCGAGGCUCAACCUCGAGACGUCGGUGGAAACCGUAUGGCUAGAGUCCGGAAGAGGAGAGUGGAAUUCCUGGUGUAGCGGUGAAAUGCGCAGAUAUCAGGAAGAACACCCGUGGCGAAGGCGGCUCUCUGGGACGGUACUGACGCUGAGACGCGAAAGCGUGGGGAGCGAACAGG
rnacentral:rRNA from 1 species